rnacentral:rRNA from 1 species
UCGAUUGAGUUUGAUCAUGGCUCAGAACGAACGCUGGCGGCGUGGAUAAGACAUGCAAGUCGAACGGGAUUACUUUUGUAGCAAUACAGAAGUAAUUCAGUGGCGAACGGGUGCGUAACACGUGGGCAAUCUGCCGAGAAGUGGGGGAUAGCUCGCCGAGAGGCGAAUUAAUACCGCAUGUGGUGAGUGAAGACAUCUUCACGAGUCCAAAGGUGCUGCAAGGUACCGCUUUUUGAGGAGCCCGCGGCCUAUCAGCUAGUUGGUGAGGUAAUGGCUCACCAAGGCUUUGACGGGUAGCUGGUCUGAGAGGACGACCAGUCACACUGGAACUGAGACACGGUCCAGACACCUACGGGUGGCAGCAGUCGAGAAUUUUUCUCAAUGGGGGAAACCCUGAAGGAGCGACGCCGCGUGGAGGAUGAAGGCUUUCGGGUUGUAAACUCCUGUCAUUUGAGAACAAGUGGCCGAAAAUUAACUACUUCGGCCUUGAUAGUAUCAGAAGAGGAAGGGACGGCUAACUCUGUGCCAGCAGCCGCGGUAAUACAGAGGUCUCAAGCGUUGUUCGGAUUCAUUGGGCGUAAAGGGUGCGUAGGUGGCGCCGUAAGUCAGGUGUGAAAUUUCGGAGCUUAACUCCGAAACUGCAUUUGAUACUGCGGUGCUUGAGGACUGGAGAGGAGACUGGAAUUUACGGUGUAGCAGUGAAAUGCGUAGAGAUCGUAAGGAAGA